rnacentral:rRNA from 1 species
GACGAACGCUGGCGGCGUGCUUAACACAUGCAAGUCGAACGGAAAGGCCCUGCUUUUUUGGGGUGCUCGAGUGGCGAACGGGUGAGUAACACGUGAGUAACCUGCCCUUGACUUUGGGAUAACUUCAGGAAACUGGGGCUAAUACCGGAUAGGAGCUCCUGCUGCAUGGUGGGGGUUGGAAAGUUUCGGCGGUUGGGGCUGGACUCGCGGCUUAUCAGCUUGUUGGUGGGGUAGUGGCUUACCAAGGCUUUGACGGGUAGCCGCCCUGAGAGGGUGACCGGCCACAUUGGGACUGAGAUACGGAGCAGACUCCUCCGGGAGGCAGCAGUGGGGAAUAUUGCACAAUGGGCGGAAGCCUGAUGCAGCAACGCCGCGUGCGGGAUGACGGCCUUCGUGUUGUAAACCGCUUUCGCCUGUGACGAAGCGUGAGUGACGGUAAUGGGUAAAGAAGCACCGGCUAACUACGUG